UACGUAGGGGGCCAGCGUUGUCCGGAAUCAUUGGGCGUAAAGCGCGCGUAGGCGGCCAGAUAAGUCCGGUGUGAAAGUCAAAGGCUCAACCUUUGAAUGCCGCUGGAAACUGCCUGGCUUGAGUCCGGAAGGGGCGAGUGGAAUUCCUGGUGUAGCGGUGAAAUGCGUAGAUAUCAAGAGGAACACCUGAGGUGAAGACGGGGUUGCUGGGCCGACACUGACGCUGACAGCGCGAAAGCCAGGGGAGCAAACGGG
rnacentral:rRNA from 1 species